UACGGAGGGUGCGAGCGUUGUCCGGAAUCAUUGGGCGUAAAGGGCGCGUAGGUGGCCCGGUCAGUCUUUGGUGAAAGCGCGGGGCUCAACCCUGCGUCGGCCAGGGAUACUGCCGCGGCUGGAGCACUGUAGAGGCAGGCGGAAUUCCGGGUGUAGCGGUGGAAUGCGUAGAGAUCGGGAAGAAUACCAGUGGCGAAGGCGUUCUGCUGGGCCGUUGCUGACACUGAGGCGCGACAGCGUGGGGAGCAAACAGG
rnacentral:rRNA from 1 species